UACAGAAGCACCUGCACAAACUCUUCACC
rnacentral:piRNA from 1 species